AUCUUCGGCAAUGGGCGCAAGCCUGACCGAGCGACGCCGCGUGCGGGGUGAAGGCCUUCGGGUUGUAAACCGCUGUCGUAGAGGAGGAAAUGCAGGGGGGUUCUCCCUUCUGUUUGACCUAUUCUAGGAGGAAGUACGGGCUAAGUUCGUGCCAGCAGCCGCGGUAAGACGAACCGUACAAACGUUACUCGGAAUUACUGGGCUUAAAGGGUGCGUAGGCUGCGCGGAAAGUUGGGUGUGAAAGCCCUCAGCUCAACUGGGGAAUUGCAUUCAAAACUACCGUGCUCGAGGGAGACAGAGGUAAGCGGAACUCAAGGUGGAGCGGUGAAAUGCGUUGAUAUCUUGAGGAACACCGGUGGCGAAGGCGGCUUACUGGGUCUCUUCUGACGCUGAGGCACGAAAGCUAAGGUAGCAAACGGGAUUAGAUACCCCGGUAGUCUUAGCUGUAAACGAUGAGCACUUGUUUGAAGGGUCCUCCAUAGCCUUUCAGACGUGGCGAAAGUGUUAAGUGCUCCGCCUGGGGAGUAUGGUCGCAAGGCUGAAACUCAAAGAAA
rnacentral:rRNA from 1 species